AAUAGAUACCCUGGUAGUCCACGCCGUAAACGAUGUCGACUUGGAGGUUGUGCCCUUGAGGCGUGGCUUCCGGAGCUAACGCGUUAAGUCGACCGCCUGGGGAGUACGGCCGCAAGGUUAAAACUCAAAUGAAUUGACGGGGGCCCGCACAAGCGGUGGAGCAUGUGGUUUAAUUCGAUGCAACGCGAAGAACCUUACCUACUCUUGACAUCCACGGAAUUUAGCAGAGAUGCUUUAGUGCCUUCGGGAACCGUGAGACAGGUGCUGCAUGGCUGUCGUCAGCUCGUGUUGUGAAAUGUUGGGUUAAGUCCCGCAACGAGCGCAACCCUUAUCCUUUGUUGCCAGCGGUUAGGCCGGGAACUCAAAGGAGACUGCCAGUGAUAAACUGGAGGAAGUGGGGAUGACGUCAAGUCAUCAUGGCCCUUACGAGUAGGGCUACACACGUGCUACAAUGGCAUAUCAAAGNGAAGCGACCUCGCGAGAGCAAGCGGACCUCAUAAAGUAUGUCGUAGUCCGGAUUGGAGUCUGCAAC
rnacentral:rRNA from 1 species